rnacentral:rRNA from 1 species
AACGAACGCUGGCGGCGCGCCUAAUACAUGCAAGUCGAACGAGAAGCUGUAGCAAUACAGUUGUACAGUGGCGAACGGGUGAGGAAUACAUGGGUGACCUACCCUCGAGUGGGGAAUAACCAGCCGAAAGGUUGGCUAAUACCGCGUACGCUUCCCAGUCUACGGGUUGGGAAGGAAAGCGAUGCCGUGGGUAUCGCGCUCAAGGUUGGGCUCAUGUCCUAUCAGCUGUUGGUGGGGUAACGGCUCACCAAGGCAACGACGGGUAGCUGGUCUGAGAGGACGAUCAGCCACACUGGCACUGCGACACGGGCCAGACUCCUACGGGAGGCAGCAGUAAGGAAUAUUGCGCAAUGGGCGAAAGCCUGACGCAGCGACGCCGCGUGGGGGAUGAAGGUCCUCGGAUUGUAAACCCCUUUCGGGAGGGAAGAUGGAACGAGCAAUCGUUCGGACGGUACCUCCAGAAGCAGCCACGGCUAACUUCGUGCCAGCCGCCGCGGU